GAUGAACGCUGGCGGCGUGCCUAAUACAUGCAAGUCGAGCGAACAGACGAGGAGCUUGCUCCUCUGACGUUAGCGGCGGACGGGUGAGUAACACGUGGAUAACCUACCUAUAAGACUGGGAUAACUUCAGGAAACCGGAGCUAAUACCGGAUAAUAUAUUGAACCGCAUGGUUCAAUAGUGAAAGACGGUUUUGCUGUCACUUAUAGAUGGAUCCGCGCCGCAUUAGCUAGUUGGUAAGGUAACGGCUUACCAAGGCAACGAUGCGUAGCCGACCUGAGAGGGUGAUCGGCCACACUGGAACUGAGACACGGUCCAGACUCCUACGGGAGGCAGCAGUAGGGAAUCUUCCGCAAUGGGCGAAAGCCUGACGGAGCAACGCCGCGUGAGUGAUGAAGGUCUUCGGAUCGUAAAACUCUGUUAUCAGGGAAGAACAAAUGUGUAAGUAACUAUGCACGUCUUGACGGUACCUAAUCAGAAAGCCACGGCUAACUACGUG
rnacentral:rRNA from 1 species